rnacentral:rRNA from 1 species
GACGAACGCUGGCGGCGUGCUUAACACAUGCAAGUCGAACGGAAAGACCCUGCUUGCGUGGUGUGCUCGAGGGGCGAACGGGUGAGUAACACGGGAGUAACCUGCUCUUCUCUUUGGUAUAACUUCAGGAAACUGGGGCUAAUACCGGAUAGGAGCUCCUGCUGCAUGGUGGGGGUUGGAUAUUUUCGGCGGUUGGGGAUGGACUCGCGGCUUAUCAGCUUGUUGGUGGGGUAGUGGCUUACCAAGGCUGUGACGGGUAGCCGGCCUGAGAGGGUGACCGGCCACAUUGGGAGUGAGAUACGGCCGAGACUCAUACGGGGGGGAGGAGGGGAAAAUAUUGCACAAUGGGCGGAAGCGUGAUGGAGCAGCGCCGUGGGGGAGAACGCGGCUUUGGGGGUGUAAACCGCUCUCGAGUGUGACGACGUGUGGGUAAGGGUCCUAGAUAAGGAGGCCCGGGUUAACUAGUU